UAAGCUUGGAGUGCCCAGUCACCGUGGUAACUGCCAGAAAAAUUCUCAUGAAGUUUGAAGAGCCUGACGAUGCAGGGUGAGGAGUGCCCAGCGACCUUUGUGUGCUCAAGGCACAGCUUCAUCCUGGCCUUCAGUGGGACAGUGCACAUGGAAAUGUGUGAUCUAUUCCUUCCUGAGCCCCAGUGAUGCCUUGCUUUGCAGUUCCUCUCGCUGGUUCUCAUAUCCUGGCAAGAUGCUACAAACCCCACGUGACAAAGAUUAGAAGGAAAUACUUAUUUGAAGAAAUCUCUGUCGUUAGCUGUGCUCUCCAGCUCUUAAACCAUUAUAGAGCCUUACUGUGUAGACCAGCUGAACCUGAA
rnacentral:lncRNA from 1 species